UUUUCGUAGGUGAACCUGCGGAAGGAUCAUUAGUGAAUUCAAUAAGGCCGUGGGUUGGCUUUGCAAAAGGCUUCAGCCCGGCCGAACCACUAUUUUCACACACUUGUGCAUCUGUUCAUUAACUCAAUUGACCUCACCGUCGAUUGAUUAAUACACAAAACUCUUGUGCAUCGUCACAAACAGUUUACAGAAAACAAAUUUUGAUAAACGAAAGAAAAACUUUCAGCAAUGGAUCUCUUGGCUCUCGCAUCGAUGAAGAACGCAGC
rnacentral:misc_RNA from 1 species